GACGAACGCUGGCGGCGUGCUUAACACAUGCAAGUCGAACGGAAAGGCCCCUUCGGGGGUACUCGAGUGGCGAACAGGUGAGUAACACGUGAGUAACCUGCCCUUGACUUCGGGAUAACUUCAGGAAACUGGGGCUAAUACCGGAUAGGAAUCCUUGCUGCAUGGUGGGGGUUGGAAAGCUUCGGCGGUUUUGGAUGGACUCGCGGCUUAUCAGCUUGUUGGUGGGGUAGUGGCUUACCAAGGCUUUGACGGGUAGCCGGCCUGAGAGGGCGACCGGCCACAUUGGGACUGAGAUACGGCCCAGACUCCUACGGGAGGCAGCAGUGGGGAAUAUUGCACAAUGGGCGGAAGCCUGAUGCAGCAACGCCGCGUGCGGGAUGACGGCCUUCGGGUUGUAAACCGCUUCCAGCAGGGGCGAAGCUUGUGGUGACGGUACCUGCAGAAGAAGCACCGGCUAACUACGUG
rnacentral:rRNA from 1 species